rnacentral:tRNA from 1 species
UCCCAGGAUGGCUCAGUUGGUAGAGCAUGAGACUCUUAAAUUCAGGGUUGUGGGUUCAAGCCUCACAUUGGGCA